rnacentral:rRNA from 1 species
AACGAACGCUGGCGGCAGGCUUAACACAUGCAAGUCGAGCGAGACCUUCGGGUCUAGCGGCGGACGGGUGAGUAACGCGUGGGAACGUGCCCUUCUCUACGGAAUAGCCCCGGGAAACUGGGAGUAAUACCGUAUACGCCCUUUGGGGGAAAGAUUUAUCGGAGAAGGAUCGGCCCGCGUUGGAUUAGGUAGUUGGUGGGGUAAUGGCCCACCAAGCCGACGAUCCAUAGCUGGUUUGAGAGGAUGAUCAGCCACACUGGGACUGAGACACGGCCCAGACUCCUACGGGAGGCAGCAGUGGGGAAUCUUAGACAAUGGGGGCAACCCUGAUCUAGCCAUGCCGCGUGAGUGGUGAAGGCCUUAGGGUUGUAAAGCUCCUUCAGCUGGGAAGAUAAUGACGGUACCAGCAGAAGAAGCCCCGGCUAACUCCGUG